rnacentral:rRNA from 1 species
CAAUAGCGUAUAUUAAAGUUGUUGCAGUUAGAACGCUCGUAGUCGGAUUUCGGGGCGUUCCGACCGGUCUGCCGAUGGGUAUGCACUGGCCGGAGUGUCCUUUUUGCCGGAGACCGUGCCUACUCUUAACUGAGCGGGGGCGGGAGACGGCACUUUUACUUUGAAAAAAUCAGAGUGUUUCAAGCAGGCAGCUCGCUCUUGCAUGGAUUAGCAUGGGAUAAUGAAAUAGGACUUUGGUGCUAUUUUGUUGGUUUCGAACACCGAAGUAAUGAUGAGAAGGGACAGUCAGGGGCACUCGUAUUCCGCAGAGAGAGGUGAAAUUCUCAGACCCGCGGAAGACGAACCACUGCGAAAGCAUUUGCCAGGGAUGUUUCCACUGA